rnacentral:rRNA from 1 species
GACGAACGCUGGCGGCGUGCUUAACACAUGCAAGUCGAACGGAAAGGCACUGCGUUUGUGGGGUGAUCGAGUGGCGAACGGGUGAGUAACACGAGAGUAACCUGCUCUUCACUUUGGGAUAACUUCAGGAAACUGGGGCUAAUACAGGAUAGGAGCUCCUGCUGCAUGGAGGGGAUUGGAACGUUUCGGCGGUUGGGGAUGGACUCGCGGCUUAUCAGCUUGUUGGUGGGGUAGUGGCUUACCAAGGCUUUGACGGGUAGCCGGCCUGAGAGGGUGGCCGGCGACAUUGGGACUGAGAUACGGCCCAGUCUCCUACGGGAGGCAGCAGUGGGGAAUAUUGCACAAUGGGCGGAAGCCUGAUGCAGCAACGCCGCGUGCGGGAUGACGGCCUUCGGGUUGUAAACCGCUUUCGCCUGUGACGAAGCGUGAGUGACGGUAAUGGGUAAAGAAGCACCGGCUAACUACGUG